GCCCAGGUGGCGGAAUUGGUAGACGCGCUACGUUCAGGUCGUAGUUCUCUUCGGGGAGUGAAGGUUCAAGUCCUUUCCUGGGCACCA
rnacentral:tRNA from 1 species